GCUGAAAGCAUCUAAGCGGGAAGCCCCCUUCAAGAUGAGACUUCCCUGAGGCCUUGCGCCUCCUGAAGGGCCCUUGAAGACUACAAGGUUGAUAGGCUGGGUGUGGAAGCACAGCAAUGUGUUGAGCUAACCAGUACUAAUUGCCCGUGAGGCUUGACCAU
rnacentral:ncRNA from 1 species